GACGAACGCUGGCGGCGUGCCUAAUACAUGCAAGUUGAGCGCUGAAGGUUGGUAUUUGUACCAACUGGAUGAGCAGCGAACGGGUGAGUAACGCGUGGGGAAUCUGCCUUUGAGCGGGGGACAACAUUUGGAAACGAAUGCUAAUACCGCAUAAAAACUUUAAACACAAGUUUUAAGUUUGAAAGAUGCAAUUGCAUCACUCAAAGAUGAUCCCGCGUUGUAUUAGCUAGUUGGUGAGGUAAAGGCUCACCAAGGCGAUGAUACAUAGCCGACCUGAGAGGGUGAUCGGCCACAUUGGGACUGAGACACGGCCCAAACUCCUACGGGAGGCAGCAGUAGGGAAUCUUCGGCAAUGGACGAAAGUCUGACCGAGCAACGCCGCGUGAGUGAAGAAGGUUUUCGGAUCGUAAAACUCUGUUGGUAGAGAAGAACGUUGGUGAGAGUGGAAAGCUCAUCAAGUGACGGUAACUACCCAGAAAGGGACGGCUAACUACGUG
rnacentral:rRNA from 1 species